GACGAGCGCUGGCGGCGUGCCUAAUACAUGCAAGUAGAACGCUGAAGAGAGGAGCUUGCUCUUCUUGGAUGAGUUGCGAACGGGUGAGUAACGCGUAGGUAACCUGCCUUGUAGCGGGGGAUAACUAUUGGAAACGAUAGCUAAUACCGCAUAACAAUGGAUGACCCAUGUCAUUUAUUUGAAAGGGGCAAAUGCUCCACUACAAGAUGGACCUGCGUUGUAUUAGCUAGUAGGUGAGGUAACGGCUCACCUAGGCGACGAUACAUAGCCGACCUGAGAGGGUGAUCGGCCACACUGGGACUGAGACACGGCCCAGACUCCUACGGGAGGCAGCAGUAGGGAAUCUUCGGCAAUGGGGGCAACCCUGACCGAGCAACGCCGCGUGAGUGAAGAAGGUUUUCGGAUCGUAAAGCUCUGUUGUAAGUCAAGAACGAGUGUGAGAGUGGAAAGUUCACACUGUGACGGUAGCUUACCAGAAAGGGACGGCUAACUACGUGCCAGCAGCCGCGGUAAUACGUAGGUCCCGAGCGUUGUCCGGAUUUAUUGGGCGUAAAGCGAGCGCAGGCGGUUUGAUAAGUCUGAAGUUAAAGGCUGUGGCUCAACCAUAGUUCGCUUUGGAAACUGUCAAACUUGAGUGCAGAAGGGGAGAGUGGAAUUCCAUGUGUAGCGGUGAAAUGCGUAGAUAUAUGGAGGAACACCGGUGGCGAAAGCGGCUCUCUGGUCUGUAACUGACGCUGAGGCUCGAAAGCGUGGGGAGCGAACAGG
rnacentral:rRNA from 1 species